rnacentral:rRNA from 1 species
AAUGAACGCUGGCGGCGUGCCUUACACAUGCAAGUCGAGCGAGGCCGGGGGGCAACCCCCGAGUCGAGCGGCGAACGGGUGAGUAACACGUGGAUGACCUGCCCUUUGGUGUGGGAUAACCCGGGGAAACUCGGGCUAAUACCGCAUGAGACCGAGAGGUGAAAGUGGGCUCGCAAGAGCUCACGCUGAAGGAGGGGUCCGCGUCCGAUUAGCUAGUUGGUAGGGUAAUGGCCUACCAAGGCGACGAUCGGUAGCCGGCCUGAGAGGGUGAUCGGCCACACUGGAACUGAGACACGGUCCAGACUCCUACGGGAGGCAGCAGUGGGGAAUUUGCGCAAUGGGCGAAAGCCUGACGCAGCAACGCCGCGUGGAGGAUGAAGGUCUUUGGAUUGUAAACUCCUGUCAGCGGGGAAAAAGGGAGGCGGCCGAAUACGUCGUCGACUUGAUUGUACCCGCAGAGGAAGCCCCGGCUAACUCUGUGCCAGCAGCCGCGGUAAUACAGAGGGGGCG